GGUAGGAUACUUAGCGCGGGCCUUUGGCUCAGGAAAGUCCACCCACCGUGAAAGAGCACUCAAGUUGAGGUUCAGUAAUGGACGGCUCUGUAUCAGAAACGAGACCACUUACAAAGAGAAUGAUGUUGUGAAGUCUCCAGUGAUGGAGAUGAGUUAACCAACAGACGUUUUUGUAAGAACGGAUGAAACGCUACAUACCUGCUCGGUGCAAGCUUUAAGCGCUUAGUUUAAUGCUAAGAAGGAGUAUCAGUUAUACAUAUAACUUAUGUUUCCUAAGCCUUCAACGGUCAGGGAAGCAAAUGGCUCCUACAGAAGGUGGCUUAUUUCCUACC
rnacentral:RNase_P_RNA from 1 species